rnacentral:rRNA from 1 species
AAGCUUUGUGAUACGCUUUCUAACAGUCGAGUUGUUUGGGAAUGCAGCUCAAAAUGGGUGGUAAAUGCCAUCUAAGGCUAAAUAUUGGGGAGAGACCGAUAGCGAACAAGUACAGUGAUGGAAAGAUGAAAAGAACUUUGAAAAGAGAGUUAAACAGUACGUGAAAUUGCCAAAAGGGAAGGGUAGGAGGUCAGAGAUGCGGCCUGGGAUUCAGCCUUGCUUUUGCUUGGUGUUUUUCCCAGAUUGCAGGCCAACGUCGGUUUUGGGCACUGGAGAAGGGUAGGAGGAACGUGGCACCUCUCGGGGUGUGUUAUAGCCUCCUACUGGAUACAGCGACCGAGACCGAGGACAGCAGCGUACUCGCAAGAGCGGGCCUUCGGGCACCUUUACGCUUAGGGCGUUGGCAUAAUGGCCCUCUACCACCCGUCUUG